rnacentral:lncRNA from 1 species
UAUAUAUUGACUUCAGGGAGUUUAAGUAUGACCUGAAAUGGGAAUUUCCACGAGAAAAUCUUGAGCUUGGGAAUGAGCUGGGAUCUGGAGCUUUUGGGAUGGUUGUACAGGCUACAGCAUAUGGGAUCAGCAAGCCUGGAGUGUCUAUUCAGGUAGCAGUAAAAAUGUUAAAGGACAAGCACCAGGCAGUGGAAAAGGAAGCUCUGAUGUCUGAACUGAAAAUGCUGACUCAUAUUGGAC